CUUUUGCAAGGGAUUAUUACUUUUACUAUGCAUGUUUAUGACUAAAUUCCUUUUGUUAAACUCAGGUUAUGCCUUCUUUUGAGAUACCAGAGCUUUUUACCAUUAUGAAUUUGCCCAGGAACCAAGUUCUGCUGAUCCGUGGCUGGGCUGACAUCAGAUCCUUCACCCUUUGUCUGGAGCUGCUUUUCAUCUGUGGUGACUGUAAACACACAAUGAACGGUUUCACAGCAGCCAAGAAAAUACUGCCUUUCACUGGAAACUUCCUCACUCUCUAUCGACUGCUGGCUGCUAGUUUGUCUGGAGGUUUUUACGAUUUUAUGGUAUCUUCACUGCAUCAUGGAAGCUGCUGUCUGAGCCACACUUACACAUCAAAUGACACUUUCUUCUACAGGAUGAUGAGUAACAA